rnacentral:misc_RNA from 1 species
GCAAGGAAAAGUUACUCAAUAUUCUUAUCGGAUAAGGUUGAACAAAUACACCCAUCGUACGAGGCAAUUUGUAUGAUACAUUACAUAAGACAUAAACCAUUAGUCAUAAGAUAGGAAUUAGAACAUACAAGAAAUGCAACAACAUUACAAUUGCAAUAGCUAGUUGCAGUAUAGUAUAUCAACCACAGCAAUAACAGCAAACAAUUCAGCACAAAAAGUUACACAGGCAGAGACACAUCUAAGUAGACAUAUUUCACAUCCAAGUAAAAGUUUGUAUUUAUUUGUCUAAAAAUCCCCACCAGCAGAUGGCAUUUUCGCUAUAAAAAUCGUCGCUCUUGCGAAAUCGAUCUCCAACUUCAAUCCUCAUCUUCAUCAUCGUCUCCCCCGUCUUCUUUGUUUUUCUUGAGAUUGGUUGUACCCCCCUCCUUGCUAAUGGGCAACUUCAUUG